GGGUAUUGAAGAUGAUGAAGAAAAUAUUCAAGCUCCUGCCCCUCACUCUCAAACAUCUGUACGCAGCCUUCCCUCUCCUCCUACGGGCGAUGAUGGUGAUAGCGGGAAUUUUGUCCACACAAAAGUGAGUGCGAGGGUUAUCACCAAUUCUGAUAGGACUCUCGUAUCAGAAUUAUUCAACCGUGAUGGAAAGGCAACAAUAAACGAGUCUAACUUGGCAGGAAGCACUAACAAACCAACGGCUUGUCAAUUUUGUAGUAAGAGUUGAAGGCUUGUUCCUCAACCGGAAAAAGGAAUUGGUCAGAAAAAUACUUGAACACAUUUCAAUAAAUAAUAUAUAACUAAAAUAACAACUAGUUUAUUGGUGAAGGGUGGCAUUCCUCCAACCUAAGUUUUGGAAUAUUUGGAGGAACUUCGAGGCAGGUAUUGUGUGAUACAUGCAAAAAAAAAAGAGAAGAGCAUUGGUGCCGUUAUUGACCAUUUUAUGUAUGCAAUUGGUAAUGACAUCAAAUCCCAUCCUGAUUGAAAUGAGUCAUCAUAUUCUACUUAACUUCAAUAUCGAAUUAUGCUGGCAGGGAAGGUGGCAAGGAUAGUGCACAACACUGCAAUCGUUCGUGCCAAUAAAGGGGGAGAUUUUUUCAUGCGACCUUUUGACGUUGUCGUCCUCCUGUCUCAAUUCCGUCGAUCUUCACAACUAGCUAAGGCUGUGCAAAAUAUGACUCAGCAGGAUCCAGAGAAUUUGCCGAUAACUCUACUAAGAGAUUGGGCAUUUUUUUUCUUAGAGGGUCACUGUCAAAGGGGAAGGACCUGCAUGAAUCUCACGUCUUCUGAGUAUAUGGAAAAGAUGGGGGACUGUAGUGGGUCCCGGAUCUUUUAAUCAAAGUCACAUAAGACCAAGGAGUCGUCUAUGGGUCCUGCUUAGAUCAUGGUAAAUGAUAGCCUAGUAAAGACACUUCUAAACCUUUUCACAUUGAGGGACGCUUCCUUGGAUGUCUGAUAUCUCGUCUUUCGUAUUCGGUGAGGAGUGGAAUUGUAAGUCAUAAGGAACUCUAGGGGACAGAUGCUCCGUUCGGGCAUCAGUGAUCCUUAUGACAAAGGGCUGUAAGAAAGUCCUUCGCCGCCCAGCGUGUACCUGGGCUCAGGGGUAGGCUCGCCUGAACCAUGUCUCAUUCCAGUGUGACGUCCUAGGGCUUUAACUCGUGGAUAAGAACCAUAGAGAUCAAACGUUUGGUAAAUGAUGUCUUGGGUAAGGUUGGUUUUGAAGAUGAGGAAAAUACUUUAGCUAAACCACCUCAUGCACAAGCGAACAUCAGCGUGCAGUCUUCCCUCUUCUAUGGGUGAUGGUGCCGGUGGGGGGGUAACUCCGUUCCAAUAAAAGUGGAAGGGAGCAAUAAACGAGUCCACUUGUCAGGAAUCACUUAUCAACCAAUAGUUCGUCGAUUUGAAGGCCUCGCCCUCAACUGUAAGAAGGACAAGCUCAGGAAGAUUCUUUUAAAUUUAAAUAAUAGAUAAUAUAAUUCAAAUAAUAAUGCCUAGUUCAUUGAUGAAGUUGGAGGGACAUUCAAAAACUUAUGGGGAAAAUUAAUAUGCAUUGUAUAUUUUCAAUUGAUUACGACGCUUAAAAAAAGUAAUAAAUAACAUUAAAUACGCCUAUUUUUAUAUCGCAUUUCAAUCAUUAACUUAUCUAACUACAUUUAAUUAAUAGACAAAAGGUUUAUUUGUUAUGGCAAUGAAUGGCACAAUUGUUGGUUGUAAUGUUUUUCUUCGAGUUCCACCUUAUAUGUAAGGGUGAUAAUCUUGGUAAGAAUAGAAAAGUGUGCGAGGAGAAGAGAAGCAAUACUUAUGGCAUCAUUGAUUAAAUAAUAUACAUCUUCUUCUAUCAAUCAAGAACGUUAUCCCCCCUUUAUUAU
rnacentral:lncRNA from 1 species